rnacentral:antisense_RNA from 1 species
GGGGAUGGACCUCCAGAUUUCCUUACUGACCUGCAUUAUCUUGUGGAUACCUGAGUGAAUUCCACACCACCCAUUUUAUAGAUGAAACCACUGAGACAUGGAGCAACUGACUGAGUAGUCACUGCCCCACCCCUGCCUGGAGCCUCACACAUGACUCGUCUCCUCUCAGUGACCACAGGAAAACAAGCUCAGGGCUCCCACUGAUUGUACAUUAUGAGACGGAGUCUUGCUAUGUUGCCCAGGCUGGUCUUGAACUCCUCACCUCAAGCGAUCCUCUCGUCUUGGCCUCCCAAGUGUCAGGAUUACAGGCAUGUGCUAUCACACCCAACCUGAUACAUUGCCUUUAUAAAUUUUUUUUUCUUUAUUCUAAAAACCAGAAAAAACAAAACUGGAUACAUGUGCAGAACAUGCAGGUGAGACGUGGUCUUGUAACACAGUGGUUAAGAAUGUGACUUUGGAGCCAGCCUGCUAGGGGCUGAAUUCUGACUCAGCCAUUUACUAACUGUGUGACCUUAGGUCACAGAAUUUUCCACACUCCUUGACGGAGGUGCUUAACCCUUAUCCAUCAGCAUUCUCAGACAGCACCUCCGGUUAGGGACAGUAUCUGACCGUCCGACAUCCCUGCAGCCCCCA